UUAUCGCUAGAAGGUACUCUGGGCCUAGUUCAGACAGAGUGCACACACAAAUCUUUGUCAUUCUUUUUGAUUGCAACUAAUUUAGGAGUAAUUCUUCUUGUUCAACACCUCUCAACUGGCCUUCAUUACAAGAGGUGUCUCUUGUUCAGUAUUUCCUACCCAAGGCUGUGCUUCCUGCCCUUUCAGCUGAUGUCAGACGUAGGACUAACGGCUGGGGAAAGAGAAUGGAGGAAACGUCUGAGGGUGGCAGAAGGAUGAACUGGCCUUAAAGGGAACAGGGAGAUGCAAGACUACUCAGGACAACACAUCCGGACCAGAAGCAUUAAGAUACCAUGAGUGCUGCUGUCAGAUUUCCAGCACAGUUAGAAGGAGAAAAAAAAUCAGCAAUCCUAUGAGAGCUUAUUAAAGAAAAGCUUGGUUGGUCAUGACCUGUUCACUUUAACAAUGUUUUCGGCUGCUUGCUCUCUGUUG